GACACUCUGGUGGCCUAGUGGUUAGAGCAUCCAACUCAGAUGCGUGAGGUUGUGGGUUCAAAAUCCCAGCUGAGUCA